rnacentral:rRNA from 1 species
AACUUUCCAGAGAUGGAUUGGUGCCUUCGGGAACUGUGAGACAGGUGCUGCAUGGCUGUCGUCAGCUCGUGUUGUGAAAUGUUGGGUUAAGUCCCGCAACGAGCGCAACCCUUAUCCUUUGUUGCCAGCGGUCCGGCCGGGAACUCAAAGGAGACUGCCAGUGAUAAACUGGAGGAAGGUGGGGAUGACGUCAAGUCAUCAUGGCCCUUACGACCAGGGCUACACACGUGCUACAAUGGCGCAUACAAAGAGAAGCGACCUCGCGAGAGCAAGUGGACCUCAUAAAGUGCGUCGUAGUCCGGAUUGGAGUCUGCAACUCGACUCCAUGAAGUCGGAAUCGCUAGUAAUCGUGGAUCAGAAUGCCACGGUGAAUACGUUCCCGGGCCUUGUACACACCGCCCGUCACACCAUGGGAGUGGGUUGCAAAAGAAGUAGGUAGCUUAACCUUCGGGAGGGCGCUUACCACUUUGUGAUUCAUGACUGGGGUGAAGUCGUAACAAGGUAGGCGUAGCGAG